AUGAACGGAUUGGUGUGGAAUUGUCGGGGAAUCGGCGGCUCCCGAACAGUUCGUGACCUUGUGACCCUCAAUCAAGUACACCAUCCUCGCUUUAUCUUCUUAUGUGAGACUAGACAAAGCAAAGAUAGAGUUCAGCGACUGCAUAACCGGCUUGGUCUGAAAGGCUUUGCUGGUGUGAGUAGUGAAGGGCUAAGUGGAGGAUUAGCCCUCUUCUGGGAUGAGCACUUGUAUGUGGAGAUAAAAGAGGCUAAUAAGAGAUACAUUGACGCACACAUUGGUACAACUCCGGGCAAUGUGACAUGGCGAUUAACUUGUGUGUAUGGCGAGCCCAGGGUGGAGAAUAGAUACCUUAUGUGGGAUAAAAUGCGGGAGCUUAAAGCAAAGUCAGACUUACCAUGGACUGUUGUUGGCGAUUUCAACGAGGCUAUCUAG
rnacentral:rRNA from 1 species